GAAGCUUGCUUCUCUUGAGAGCGGCGGACGGGUGAGUAAUGCCUAGGAAUCUGCCUGGUAGUGGGGGAUAACGCUCGGAAACGGACGCUAAUACCGCAUACGUCCUACGGGAGAAAGCAGGGGACCUUCGGGCCUUGCGCUAUCAGAUGAGCCUAGGUCGGAUUAGCUAGUUGGUGAGGUAAUGGCUCACCAAGGCGACGAUCCGUAACUGGUCUGAGAGGAUGAUCAGUCACACUGGAACUGAGACACGGUCCAGACUCCUACGGGAGGCAGCAGUGGGGAAUAUUGGACAAUGGGCGAAAGCCUGAUCCAGCCAUGCCGCGUGUGUGAAGAAGGUCUUCGGAUUGUAAAGCACUUUAAGUUGGGAGGAAGGGCAGUUACCUAAUACGUAUCUGUUUUGACGUACCGACA
rnacentral:rRNA from 1 species